rnacentral:RNase_P_RNA from 1 species
UGAGCAGGACAAAUGAUCGCGGCUGCAGGUUCCGAAAGGACGCAGGUGAGGAAAGUCCGGGCUUCACAGGGCAGGAUGCCGGAUAACGUCCGGCGGAGGCAACUCCCGGGAUAGUGCAACAGAAAUAAACCGCCAUAGAUCGCAACCUGGUUGCUUUUUAGCAGUCAAAUGCCUUGCAUUUGACUGCAUCGGGUUUGCAGCUUAGGCCGCAGAUCCGGUUGGUAAGGGUGGAAAGGCAGUGUAAGAGACUACCGUGCCGGUGGUAACACCGGUAGCCAUGUAAACCCCAUUCGAAGCAAGACCGAACAGAAAGCUAUGAACCGGCCCGGUUCGCUUUCAGGUGGGUCGCUUGAGACUGUCGGCGACGACAGUUCUAGAUAGAUGAUCAUUCUCGACAUAACCCGGCUUACAGCCCUGCUCAUACU